rnacentral:tRNA from 1 species
GGGGGUAUAGCUCAGUUGGUAGAGCGGCGGUCUCCAAAACCGUAGGUCGCGGGUUCAAGUCCUGCUGCCCCCGCCA